rnacentral:tRNA from 4 species
GGUCCGUUGGUCAAGAGGUUAAGACACCGCCUUUUCACGGCGGUAACACGGGUUCGAAUCCCGUACGGACUA